rnacentral:rRNA from 1 species
AAUAAACUCCCCAAACCCCUGUGACAUACCACUUGUUGCCUCGGCGGAUCAGCCCGCUCCCGGUAAAACGGGACGGCCCGCCAGAGGACCCCUAAACUCUGUUUCUAUAUGUAACUUCUGAGUAAAACCAUAAAUAAAUCAAAACUUUCAACAACGGAUCUCUUGGUUCUGGCAUCGAUGAAGAACGCAGCAAAAUGCGAUAAGUAAUGUGAAUUGCAGAAUUCAGUGAAUCAUCGAAUCUUUGAACGCACAUUGCGCCCGCCAGUAUUCUGGCGGGCAUGCCUGUUCGAGCGUCAUUUCAACCCUCAAGCACAGCUUGGUGUUGGGACUCGCGUUAAUUCGCGUUCCUCAAAUUGAUUGGCGGUCACGUCGAGCUUCCAUAGCGUAGUAGUAAAACCCUCGUUACUGGUAAUCGUCGCGGCCACGCCGUUAAACCCCAACUUCUGAAUGUUGACCUCGGAUCAGGUAGGAAUACCCGCUGAACUUAAGCAUAUCAAUAAGCGGAGGA